AACGGUUUUGGCUUUGUGCCGCUGGGUGAUCCAAAGGAAGGUGGAGAGAGUGAUAGUGAUGGCUCCCAAAGUUCCGAAGAACAGCAGGGUCUGCAGCUGAGUGAAUCCACGGAAGCGGUCUUCAGGGAGACUUUCCAAUGGAUUGUCAGUUAGAUCACUACAUUAAGAACAAGAGAAUAAAGAGAAUACAUUCAAGGCCAAUGUUGUGCUUCCUCUAUGCUGUGAAUGAUGUUUAGUGUAGUACAUCACUCUGAUAUCAUGUCUGCUAUAGUGAGACAAUUCACAUUUAAAAACAAGUAUCUCAA